rnacentral:ncRNA from 1 species
ACACAAAAGAGAAAGGGCGUUGGGUGAAUGCCUUGGCACUAUAUGGCGAAGAAGGACGUGACUACCUGCGAAAAGCUGCGACGAGCUGGAAGUGAGCAAAGACUCGCAGAUAUCCGAAUGGGGGAACCCACUGCAAGUAACGAUGCAGUAUCCACUGAUGAAACAAAUAGUCAGUGAGAAGGCAACCUAGGGAAGUGAAACAUCUAAGUACCUAGAGGAAAAGAAAGAGAAAUCGAUUCUCCAAGUAGCGGCGAGCGAACGGGGAGGAGCCCAAACCGUAGAAAUACGGGGUUUAGGACCUCAAGAAGUGAAUGCGUUGCUGUAGACGAAUCAUUUGAAAGAUGAACCAAAGAUGGUGAAAGUCCAGUAGUUGAAACGGCAGAAUGCAGCGAGAGGGAUCCAGAGUACGGCGAGACACGAGGAAUCUAGUCGGAAGAAACGCAGACCACUGCGAAAGGCUAAAUACAAGAUAGUGACCGAUAGUGAACCAGUACCGUGAGGGAAAGGUGAAAAGAACCCCGGGAGGGGAGUGAAAAGAAUCUGAAACCUGAUGCCUACAAGAAGUCAGAGGGCGUUAAAGCCUGAUGGCGUGCCUAUUGAAGAAGGAACCGGCGAGUUAUGCUAUCGUGCGAGGUUAAGUAGGAGAUACGGAGCCGAAGCGAAAGCGAGUCUUAAUAGGGCGAGAAGUACGAUAGGAUAGACCCGAAACCAGACGAUCUAGCCAUGAUCAGGUUGAAGCGAUGGUAACACAUCGUGGAGGACCGAACCAACUUUCGUUGAAAUGACAGUGGAUGAAUUGUGGCUAGGGGUGAAAUUCCAAUCGAGUUUGGAAAUAGCUGGUUCUCCCCGAAAUAGCUUUAGGGCUAGCCUUGUGGGAUGACCUAUGGAGGUAGAGCACUGAAUGACUGAGG